rfam:Otolemur garnettii contig028808, whole genome shotgun sequence.
GGAUGUGAGGGCCUUCUGGCUGCAAUAUCUGUCACCCCUUGGAUUGCUGGGUUGAUUCGGCUGAUCUGAGGCUGGCUGGGCGUCAUCUCCUUCCUCCCUCACUGCUCCGCACGUCCCUCCCCAAGCUGUGCAUUUGGUGAAGGGCACCACCUUCCCAGAUAGAGGAGGACCGUUCAGUUCUUCAGUCAAGGGUAGAGUAGCUACGCUCCCGUGCUAGAACCUUCCAACAGUCAAGACACUACUGAAGAAGAAAAACAUUGUGAAGGCAUUUACUUUUUUAAUUAUCAGAAAUUUUUAGUAAAUAUAAUAACUAAUCUGU